UUCUGGCUCAGGAUGAACGGCUGGCGGCGUGCCUAAUACAUGCAAGUGAAACGGGUAUCUUCGGAUACCAGUCGCGGACGGGUGAGUAAUACAUAGGCAACCUGCCUUUAUGAGGGGGAUAACCGAGGGAAACUUUGGCUAAUACCGCAUGAAGACUCUAAGGCAUCUUAGAGGGAUAAAAGUUGGGAAACAACGCAUGAAGAUGGGCUUAUGGCGCAUUAGCUAGUUGGUGAGAUAGAAGCCCACCAAGGUAAUGAUGCGUAGCCGACCUGAGAGGGUGAACGGCCACAUUGGGACUGAGACACGGCCCAAACUCCUACGGGAGGCAGCAGUAGGGAAUUUUCGGCAAUGGGGGGAACCCUGACCGAGCAACGCCGCGUGAAGGAAGAAGGUUUUCGGAUUGUAAACUUCUGUUAUAAGGGAAGAACGGAUUGGAUAGGGAAUGAUCUGAUAGUGACGGUACCUUAUUAGAAAGCCACGGCUAACUACGUGCCAGCCGCGGC
rnacentral:rRNA from 1 species